GUGGGGAAUCUUGCGCAAUGGGCGAAAGCCUGACGCAGCCAUGCCGCGUGGAUGAUGAAGGUCUUAGGAUUGUAAAAUCCUUUCACCGGUGAAGAUAAUGACUGUAGCCGGAGAAGAAGCCCCGGCUAACUUCGUGCCAGCAGCCGCGGUAAUACGAAGGGGGCUAGCGUUGCUCGGAAUUACUGGGCGUAAAGGGAGCGUAGGCGGACAUUUAAGUCAGGGGUGAAAUCCCGAGGCUCAACCUCGGAACUGCCUUUGAUACUGGGUGUCUUGAGUGUGAGAGAGGUGAGUGGAACUCCGAGUGUAGAGGUGAAAUUCGUAGAUAUUCGGAAGAACACCAGUGGCGAAGGCGACUCACUGGCUCAUUACUGACGCUGAGGCGCGAAAGCGUGGGGAGCAAACAGGAUUAGAUACCCCAGUAGUCC
rnacentral:rRNA from 1 species